AAGAAAUAGAGGGAUCAUUCGUCAACAUAAUGAAGGCAAUAUGUACCAAACUCACAGCCAGCAUCAUAAUGAAUGACAAAAAGUUGGUAGCAUUUCUAGGAAUGAGUCAAGAAUGCCCACUUUCACCAUUGCUGUUCAAUAAAAUUCUAGAAGUGUUAACCAGACUCACAAUGGAAGAAGGAUUUCAAUAUAUGAGUUGACAAGAUAAAAAUACUAAAGGAAAACCCCAACAAAACUGU